rnacentral:rRNA from 1 species
UAGGGAAUCUUCCGCAAUGGGCGAAAGCCUGACGGAGCAACGCCGCGUGAGUGAUGAAGGUCUUCGGAUCGUAAAACUCUGUUAUUAGGGAAGAACAAAUGUAUAAGUAACUAUGCACGUCUUGACGGUACCUAAUCAGAAAGCCACGGCUAACUACGUGCCAGCAGCCGCGGCAAUACGUAGGUGGCAAGCGUUAUCCGGAAUUAUUGGGCGUAAAGCGCGCGUAGGCGGUUUUUUAAGUCUGAUGUGAAAGCCCACGGCUCAACCGUGGAGGGUCAUUGGAAACUGGAAAACUUGAGUGCAGAAGAGGAAAGUGGAAUUCCAUGUGUAGCGGUGAAAUGCGCAGAGAUAUGGAGGAACACCAGUGGCGAAGGCGACUUUCUGGUCUGUAACUGACGCUGAUGUGCGAAAGCGUGGGGAUCAAACAGG